rnacentral:rRNA from 1 species
AUGGACUUUGAUUUGAAGUACAUAUAUGAGCGGUAUGUUGAGUCGUCCGACAACUUAUUGGAUGAGGAGUACUCCGAUGAGAAGGCGGUGAUGCAGACGCUCCUUGAAGACGCGGAGCAUGCGGAGAAGCAUGUUCUCGAUUUCAAGGGCUUGAUCAAGGGUCAUUGCAUGCUCAACCACAACAGGGCGCGCGACCAUUUGACACUGAUGGCCGACUACUUUGCCCCGAUGCACUAUCCGCUGACCAUUUUCACCUGCAUUUUCGGAUGCAUAAGGCUGUUUUCGAUCGUUUGUACCAUGGCGUCCGGUCCUACGAUGACUACUUCAUCCUGA